rnacentral:rRNA from 1 species
UACGUAGGGGGCAAGCGUUGUCCGGAUUUAUUGGGCGUAAAGAGCGUGUAGGCGGCCAGGUAGGUCCGUUGUGAAAACUCGAGGCUCAACCUCGAGACGCCGAUGGAAACCAUCUGGCUAGAGUCCGGAAGAGGAGAGUGGAAUUCCCGGUGUAGCGGUGAAUGACGCAGAUAUCAGGAAGAACACCAAUGCGAAGGCAGCUCUCUGGGACGGUACUGACACUGAGACGCGGAAAGCGAUGGGGAGCGAACAGG